rnacentral:lncRNA from 1 species
UCUAAGACUCCUAAAUCGUUUGUCUCUCCCGCUCCUUUUCACACCUACCACGGUGAGCAAGUCUUCAUCAGUAUCGUCGUCGUGCCAUUUUUGUCGUUGCCAUUUGCAGAGCAAACCCCCCCAUAUCUCUUUGUGUCUUCGUCAUUGUGCGCUUUCAGGUACUAUGCAUUGUGUUGCUAGGAACUUUACUAAGCUAGCAAUUUUUAUUUUUUUAUUUUUUUUUGUUGAGUCAUGAAAUUUAUUUGACCUCCAAAAUUUGCAUUAGUCUUAUUUAUGAAAUUUGAAUGAAAUAAUCGAUGUUAUUGUUGAGUCUUAUUUAUGUUUUUGGGAUCAGAUUACAUUUGUAAGUCUGUAAAUUUGAGUGGAGUCUUAUUUUAUUUUAUUUUACGUCAAAUGGUAUUGUGGUUUUAAGACUACAUGAUGAUGCAGACGUUUCCCUUAUGGAGGGUUUAAUGCAAAGGGCCUCUCUCUUUCUGGGGGAUGAGAUCAGGAGACCUUCAUUUAUAAAUUGAGUGUUCUAGUUCAAGAGCUAUGAGCAUUUUCUUUUUAUAAAUUAGUCCAUGUUUUGAUUCUUCAUUUAUUUUUAAUUUUCUCAUUUAUGAUGUUUGUCUUUUAGCAAAUCAUAUUUUUGAAUACAACUUUAUCCUUUUGCAUUAAGAGAACAUUGAGUUCCAAAAUUUUGGUCUGCGUCACAAUGUUGCUCAACUUUGUGUUUUGAAGGUAUCAAUGGUUGUUGAUUUUAAGAAUUAUGACUUCUACAACUUCUCUUUUCAAGGUGUUUAUGGCUCAAAUUCCUAAAGGCAUGUUUGUUAUAUUUUUAGUGCUUUUAUAGAAAAACUUAUAUGUUGAUUCCUGAUCAUUUUCAAGUAACUUGGUAAUUUUUUUUAAUUGAAAUUACAAUCUACUAUGUAAAUAUCUUUUCUAAAAUUGCUUAUCUUUCCAUGUUUCACCUUAUCUACUACCUUUGCAUGUGUGUUUGGGUUGUGAUCAAUGAACUAUAUGAAACUAAAAUCUCUUUUAGAUGUGAUUGCAUAUUCUAACAAUCUAUGGUCACAACUUAUGAACAAAGAUCCUGAAAAGUGCCAAGGUCCGAUGAAGGAUAUAAUUGUACAUAGGCUUGAUGGUGAAGAAAGAUUUAGCUAGACCCGAGAAAUGGGAUUAAGGAUUUGUGGAGUUGAGAAUAAUCCACCAAUCUAUACUCAAUAAAUGUUUAGGAGCACUCAAAUUAGGUAUAGAACUCUUGGUGUCAGAUCAAACUCCAAUCAUUGUGUAAGAAAAUUGUUUAGUGAUAAAUUUGAAUUUGAAGUUCAAUAUGAGUCUCAUAAAGUUUUAAAUGCUUAACUUUGAUUAAACUUCUUCCAGUCUAUAAGUAGAAUCAUGUUGUUUUCUUAUAUAAAAGUUUACAAAAGUUUUAAGACCAUUUACAUAGGCAAGAGCAUAUAAAAGUAAUAGAUUUCUAGGUAUCAUUUCCUUGCAACCUUCAAUUUUACUAAAAAAGGCAAAUUGCUCAUAACAUUUUGAGUUGCAUUUGUUUAGUUAUACUAUUUCUCUUUCUAUUUUGUGGAUAUUUCUUGAAUUUUUGACAAUUUGUUUCUAAAUUGGUGAGCCACAUUAUCUUGUUUAAGAUUUGAUUUUAAGAUGUCUACUUGAUUGGUUGAGGGAUAUGUGCCUUUAUUCUAUCCAGCAUGAUGCCAAUAUUAUAACUUUUGUGUUUUCCACAUCUAUUGUUUUUAUAUUUCUUUGCUACUAUAAAGAAGGCCACUCUUGCUUCCAACUUUUGACAUAUUUUAUUUCUCCUUGUUGACUUUUCUUUUUCUUGUAUAAUAAUUUUUUUUCAUUUUUUUUAUAAAAAAAUUAGAUAAAUCAAAAUUAGUCCAAUUCCAAUGUAGAUACUAAACUAAGGCAAUGCGUUAUAACAACACAAUAUUGAACAUUGAACAUGAGCUAUGAGGUUUUAAUUUGUAGAAAGGAAAAAGUGUCCAAUUCUUAUUCUAACUUGAUCAUUGAUUUGAUAUCUAAUAUAUAGGGACGUGAAGGUGUAUUCAAUUUUUUGGAAUGCCAAAGGGAUAAAGGGAAAGACUGGCCCAACAUUUCUCAGAUCACCUAU